ACAGCCAUAUCUCGUUCCAACACUGGAUCUCGUCUAAUCACCAAAGUUAAGCAACAUUUAACCUAGUCAGUACCUAAAUGGCUGACCACUCGGGAAUACUGGGUGCUGUAA